rnacentral:rRNA from 1 species
GGAGGAAAGUAGGGGAUCGCAAGACCUCAUGCUCGUGGAGCGGCCGAUAUCUGAUUAGCUAGUUGGUAGGGUAAAAGCCUACCAAGGCAUCGAUCAGUAGCUGGUCUGAGAGGACGACCAGCCACACUGGAACUGAGACACGGUCCAGACUCCUACGGGAGGCAGCAGUGGGGAAUUUUGGACAAUGGGCGAAAGCCUGAUCCAGCAAUGCCGCGUGAGUGAAGAAGGCCUUCGGGUUGUAAAGCUCUUUUGUCAGGGAAGAAACGGUGGGAGCUAAUAUCUCUUGCUAAUGACGGUACCUGAAGAAUAAGCACCGGCUAACUACGUGCCAGCAGCCGCGGUAAUACGUAGGGUGCAAGCGUUAAUCGGAAUUACUGGGCGUAAAGCGUGCGCAGGCGGUUUUGUAAGUCUGAUGUGAAAUCCCCGGGCUCAACCUGGGAAUUGCGUUUGAAACUACAAGGCUAG